AGCUUUUAGUACCCAUGCACAGAGAGUGGUGAGGCUCUGGUCGCUCUCAGCUGGGGUUCCCAUCUCGAUCUGUUGCUGUAAUAUCUAAUAUCUAUACUGAGCCUUUUCUUUUGACCCUGGGGAUUGAAUCCUCUUGGCCAUUUCUGUGCAGAUCUUGGCUAUAAUUUUGGUUGGUUCUUGUGAUAACAGUAGGGAAUUAUAACCUAAUUAACAUGGCAUCACUUUCAGCACUAGUGGUCAUUCAUUGUUUCAUUAUUAUGGUGCUUUCAACCGUGAUUAAUCGACCAUAUGUCUUAGGGUUUGUGUCUUAGACUCUUAGGAUUGUGCAUAUGAUGGUUACAUUAUGUUGCACGGACACGGACACGGACACUGACACAGCGACACGACAAAUCUAAAAAAUUUAAGAUUCGACACGGUUUGGACACGACAAAUAAUUAAUAUAUUUAUAUAUUUUAAUACAUAAAAUACAUACUAAAAACAUGAGCUCGAGACCAUAUGCGGUUAUAAGCAAAAAGACACUGCAAUUGAAUGGAGAUUAAGAAACUCAGUGACUAAUUUGAAGUGGAAAAAGGAGAUGAAUGAAGAGGGGAAUAGUAGAAAAGGAAGAUUAAGUUACAGUUUAUAAACUAGAUCAGACUAUUAGAGUUUAAACAUUGGUUAUCAUAUAUCACCACUAUUAUUAUUUUUUUUUUUUUUUUUUUUUUUUGUCUUGUAUAGUAGUUGUGUAGUUUACGUUUUUUACGUUUCUUUUAGGUUUUUUUAUAAAAAAAAAUUAGAAAUUACUGACAUGACAUGUUAGAUGAUGACAUAGCGUGUUAGUCAAAUUGUCGGGCCGUGUCAGAAAAAUCAACAUUUUCCGACACAUGACGUGUCGAACAUCAUGUCGGGACUUGUCGUGUCGUGUUGGCGUGUCAGAGUGUGGCGUGUCGGACACUUCGACACUCCACCCUCAGAAGUGUCCGUGCAACAUAGUCGUUAGAUAUUGGAUACGCUAUUUUGGAAAGUGUCUCGCUGGCCUUUUACAAUUGGAGCUAUAUACUCUUGAUCAUAUGCACAAUCCAAAUUAGUGUCUCCAAUCCAAUAUAUCCAACGAUAUAUGCAGAAUCCAUACUUGACAUCAAUAAUUCAUUAAUUUGGCACUAAAAGCCAUUCCAAACACUCCCAAGUAUAACAAUGAUAAAUUAAAACGGCAUAUGCUAGCAUAUCCUUUGGAUCUAGAUAUAUAAAUAAAACAAUGAUCAACAAGAAAUUUAUCAUCUCGGCGGAACUAACAUGGUGCCUCUAUAUACUGUCAUUCUUGCCUAAGCUUUACAUGCAAGCCGAUCAUCGCGUUCUUCUGUUGUUCCGUUGAGGUUAGUCGAAAGAGAUGAGUGACUCUAAGGUUGUUCUAGUCACAGGUUGUGCCAAAGGCGGGAUAGGCUAUGAGUACUGCAAAGCUUUUGCUGAGCAGAACUGCAAGGUCUUUGCAAGUGACAUCGCCCAACGCCUGGAAGACAUAGACCUCAAGUCUUUGGAUAGUUAUGACAUUGACACACUCGAGCUCGAUGUGUCCUCGGAUCAGAGCGUGGAAUCGGCCAUCAACACUAUCAUAUCUAAGUGCAGGCGCAUAGAUGUAGUGAUAAAUAAUGCCGGGAUUGGAAGCACCGGUCCUCUAGCGGAGCUUCCGCUGGAGACUAUUAGAAGGGCAUGGGAUAUAAACACGUUGGGACAAUUGAGGUUGGUCCAGCAAGUAGUGCCACACAUGGCGUCGCGGCGCAGUGGCAGCAUUGUAAAUAUCGGGAGCGUAGUGGGCAAAGUGCCGACACCGUGGGCAGGGUCUUAUUGUGCAAGCAAGGCAUAUGUUCAUGCCAUGUCAAACACUUUGAGGGUGGAACUGAAGCCAUUUGGGAUUGAUGUGGUGCUUGUAAUGCCUGGUGCAGUAAAGUCGAAUUUCGGGAGCGCUAAUGUUGAGAGGUUGGCGAAUCAUGAUUGGAAACUCUACAAGGAUUUCAAGGAGGCAAUUGCAGAGAGAGCUGCGGCCUCUCAAGGGAGUAAAGCAACUGAGGCUAGUGUGUUUGCUAAGCAUGUAGCACAUAAGGUUUUGGGGCCUAAACCACCAAGGCUAAUUAGUUUUGGACACAUGACUGGUUUGUUUGCUGUGCUUUCUUGCUCUCCGCUUUGGGUGAGAGAUCUUUUCUUUUCAACUCGUUUCAACUUAAACAAGAAGUUGUGACCCUAAUAAGGUUUUAUGUAAUAAUAGCUUUCAAGGCUUAAAACCGUGAUAGUUGGCUAUAUUUUUCCAACUUGGAACCUCACGUAUAGGGAAUUAGGGAUCAAUUCUCUUAAACACUAGAAUUAUGUCAAAGUUUCUCCAAUUAUGCUACUUUAAGCUUUCAAUUGAUGUAUGUCCUUACCAUAAUGCUACAAGUAUAUAUGGAAAAGACUGUAAACAGUUUUCUGCCUAAGCUAACUCAAAUGGCUAAACUUUUCUAAUGGAUGAAAACAUCACAAUUUGCUAAUUAAGGGGCUAACUCCAUGCCCUAAUUAAAAGCACACAAUGCAGAGAAAAGAGGCACCACCAACCCUUGCCCAUCUGCUUCCCACCAAAAGGAUAUUUGGUAAGAACUAAAGAGGAAGCACAAUGCUCUUUUGCUUGGCCAUGCACCAAUUGUAGCAAAUUUCAUUGGCCUCUAGUGCUAUGGUGGGUAUGAAAUAAUGCAUUUUCUCAUCAUUACUUCAAUCAAAAGGAGGCUCUCUAUGUUCCUCAAACAUAUAUCCUUCUGUGCUUGGUCAUAUUUCACUCCCAAAACUCACCAAUCUCUUUUGAAACCAAAUCAUGGCCUCUUGACAAUCUGUCUCCACGAACUUGGCCAUGCAAAUUUCCAUGCAAGAUAAUAUGAUGAAAAAGAGAAAUAUCCUAUUUGAAUGAUUGGUUAUAUGAUUUCUUUUUGGAGGUCGAUCGGAUCAAGUUUUGGAAAAAUCGAACUAUAAGAGAUCAAAUGAUUGGUAUUUGUGAUAUGAAUGUUACAAAUUAAAACAUAUAUGUCAUGCUCUGUUAAAGCUCAAACUACCGAAGUGGAAUACUUACAUUAGUUACAUGUAUUCUCUCAUCUCAAAUGAAUAUUUAACUCGCACCAGUAAUAACAGUAUGCUGAAAAACAAUUCUAAUUAAUCAAUAUAUAUUUGAUCAAUUAAAUGAUGCAUGCAUGAUGAAAAAGGUAAAACACUAUUUUUUUUUAAUUGAUAUAUUGCUCAAUUUUAUAUUUUAGAUGUCGAUCAUAGUUUCAGAAAUGUACGUAUACUAUGGUUAAGAACAAAAUGUUUAUUGGUAUGACAAAAUCUAACUUAUUUUCUCAAAAAAUUUAACUCCUUAAUUAACUAGUGAUGUUAGAUAAAAUGCCUCAAACACUAUCGGGCUUUCAAGAUCUUUAAAUUGGCAAGCUCGAUAAUGUUAAACCUAUCAAAAAUUUGAAACUAUAGAAAAGUAGUUGAAGAAUAUUUACGAUAAUUAAUUAACAAUAUAUAUAUAUACUAAAGGGAUCAUUAUAUUGUAGUCAUUACAACUAUAAAUUUAAAAUAAGCUGGAAGCAAUCCCACUGCCCCUUUGAUGUUGAUUCAGUAGCUUUCGAAUUGGACUAAAAAAGUACAAAUAACCAAAGUUGGAUUCGCAUUGUGCUCUGAGUUUUAUAAGAAUUACAAAAUGAUUAGCAAGAUAUACAAUGCAUUUCCCACAAAAGAAUGUCCCCCAAAGGGUUCUUGGAUCAUCAUUCCAAGAAUAUCAACUUUGAUCAAAGUUCUCCCUCAACGUUCUUUAUCUAAUUAGUGCAUGCAUCCAUUAAUCUAGAGGAUUAAUCAACCAUUAAGCUAAUAGCUGCUUAAUUAGAACGAGAUGACCUCUAUUUAAUUAACUCCUAAUUACAGUGACCCAUGUACCUCUCACUUUUCAUCUUGAUAUUGACUAGCUAUAGAACAAGUCAUGACAAGGGCCUAGAUGAAUAUAUAUAUAUAUAUAUAUAUAUAUAUAUAUAUAUAUAUAUAAAGCAAACGAUUUGUACUGCGUCUUGCUCAUCAAUGAUUCCAGGUUGUGUUCUUCGUCUCUCCAGAGCUUUGGUGACUAGUCGUAGUAGAGACAUUUAUAUGUAAAAAACACCACUUUGGUCCUUGGCUUUGUAUUGUGGCAUCGCUUUAAGUCCAUAUGAUGGAAAAGCUAGGGCUACCUGCCCCAUACAUAUGUCGAUAUAUGUCAUUUUGUUCCUUCCUUUUGUGUUUUUCCGAGUCGGCUACAUUUCUUGUGUUCUUAAUGAUCUAUACUGUUCUGUUGCUUUUCCAGUUUUUUUUUUUUUCUUCUUUUUUUUUUGUUCUGCAAGAAGAAACGAGAACACUUCAAUCGUAUUUACAAGACAACAAUUGUAACAAGUUAAAGUGACUCACCGCGUAUCAAAAUUAAGAGUAAAACAACUAAGAGUACUCCUAAAGAAUAGAAACUCACAUUACGGAUGGAAGAGGGGAUGUUUUCCAUUAUUCUUAGUAGGACAUUUUCUUUUCAAUAUCCACCAGUAUUCUUAGUUGUUUUCUCACAAGUUUAAGUUUUUUAUUUUAUUGAUUUUUUCAGUUUUCCCUAUGCUUAAAUUUUAAUCGUUCCGUAUGCAUACACGUAGGUUAAUGAUUUACGACGAGUUUUGUUCUAAUGCAUAUAAAGUUUAACAUGUAGAAAUUUUUCGACAUGAAAUUUGUUAACUUUCAGCAACUCUUAAAAACAAAAACUAAAGUCUUGGAAUGAUCAGAAUCCAAUGAUAAUUAGGAUUUUAGGAUGCGAAAUUUUGUUCUUCUUCCAAGAAAAAGAAUUCAUUGAAAAAUGGAAUCUCCUCCCAUCGGUGUAUAGCUAGCUCACGGAGAAGAACGCAUUGACCUUGUGAACAAUGCGAAGGUUUCCAAGACAAACGAUAGAGAAAGUACUUGAAGGCGAAACAAAGGCCAACCCAGUCAGUCAAAGCUAAUCUGAUCAAGACGGCGUCGUAGAGCCUUGUGUUGCACUCCAUGUUCUGGAUAUACAUGCAUCAUAUCUAACACUAGAUACCCUGUAAAUCUUUGUAGUAGCCUACCCUAUCUUCUCUAUGACUAUAUGAGAGUAGUGUUACUAGUACAAGUAGGUCCAGUUUUGCUACAGAGGCGAAGCAAAGCAGAGCUGCAGAGGGCAGCGCAGCAGCCUACUGUUAUCUUCAACUGUGAUGAAGUGACUGGAGGGACAGUUUGUCUUGGCCCGUGAAACCUGAAAAUUCAAAAAGCCUGAGAAGCCAUUUAAUCCAGAACCCAGCACCAUUAAUAAUGCUUCACCCACUAAACCAUGGAGUCAAUAACUUCUGAGAAUUACUGGCCUACUGUGAGUGACUGCUGGGUUCUUCUAGGCGCUACUAUAUCUGCAGUGUUUACCCACAUGAGAAAAUGAGGUCUCAAGGUCUCAAUCCCUGUAGAAGAAGAAGAAGAAUAAUAAUAAUAAUACGAAAAAUAAAUAAAUGAAGAAGCAAAAAUUAAAGGUAAAAAAGAAAAGGGCUUUCUCACAUCAGAGAGAUGCCUAUAGAAUGAGGGAAGGAUACCCAGCAUUGCUUGCCUGGAACAACUCAUUCUUUUUGUUAGAUUAAAGGAAGUUGUAUUCUUCUCUUUAAAUAUAUAUCUUUUCAGAGAGAGAAGCUAGCAUAGAUUCAGUUGCAGGAGUUGGGAUUUGUUUUAGAUGAGAGUUAGACUUGGACCAAUCAGUACUUCUACAGCUAGCAAACAAAAAACCCAGUUUCAAAAAUAAAAGAGAGAAGAGAGAGCAAGCAAAGCAAAGCAAAAAACCAGUAGUACCAAAACAAUGCAAGUGUUGAGAGUAUUAUGAUUAGCUUAUAUGUACCCCAAUGAUUGAGUAGGUUUCUCAACCCCAACAAUAUCUCUGCUUCUACUCAAAACCUUGAGAGACCAUGAAAUCCAUGAGUAAUGAUAACACCAACAGUAGCAAUAACUGGUUGGAUUUUUCUCUCUCCCCUAAUAUGAAACUGGAUGUUCCUCCUCCUUCAGACCCUCACCUCCAAAUUUCUCAGUCCUCAUCUCCUUCUAUUCCAAAUGCCUUUUUCAACUCCCCACCUCACUUUAACUAUGGAAUAUACUAUGGAGUUGAUCAAGGAGAUCAUACUGGUUUGUACUCUGCUUUGCCUAUGAUGCCAAUAAAGUCUGAUGGCUCUCUCUGCAUAAUGGAAGCUCUCAACAGGUCUCAUCAUCCUCAAGGUUAGCUCAAAUUAAACUUCCCCAGCUACUUCCACUUCUACAUUGUCUUAUUUUCGUUGUGGGUUUUUGUAAAGUUCUUGACUUUUUUUUACAUUUUAUAUCAAGGAAUGGUAACUAGUAGCUCAAGUUCAACUCCAAAACUAGAGGACUUCUUUGGAGGUGCAACCAUGGGGACCCAUAACCACUAUGGCAACAAUGACAGGGAAGCUAUGGCUCUAAGCUUAGACAGCAUGUUUUACCAACAAAUCCCAACCCAUCAUCAUCACCAUGAGCCCAACAACAACAGCCAAAAUUUGCUUAACCAAGAUCAUGAGUCCCAACAGCAAGACUACUCAUCCUACUACUCUGGUCUAAAAACCCAUGAGAUGAUGUUUGAGGAUCAUCAGAAGGAGCAAGCGCAGAUUGAGCAUUUCAACAAUGUCCAAAACUCAAGUUUGGGGUCACUUAAUCACAACAUUUCUGAUAUGAAGAACUGGGUUUCCAGAAAUUUCUCAGCUAAUAAUAAUAAUGGGGUGUUGGAGCAGAACAUGAUUGGGUGCAUGGGUGACAAUGGUGCUGAAUCUGCAGGGUCUAUUGGGUCAAUGCCUUAUGGGGAUUUACAGUGUUUGAGCUUGUCAAUGAGCCCUGGCUCUCAAUCAAGCUGUGUUACCGGAACACAGCAAAUCUCACCCACUUUGACUACUAAUACUGAGUGUGUAGCCACCAUUGAUUCUUCCAAGAAAAGAGGGCCUGAGAAAGCGGAGCAAAAGCAAAUUGUUCAUAGGAAGUCUCUGGAUACAUUUGGGCAGAGAACCUCUCAGUAUAGAGGAGUCACAAGGUUAGUCCUUCACUGUUUUUUACACCAUUCAAGUACAAAGAUCUUCAUUAUUAAACUGGGUUCUCUCUGUUUCUUCAGUGUUCCGAUUUUGUUUUAUGGGUUUUGAUAAGCAGGCAUAGAUGGACUGGUAGAUAUGAAGCUCAUUUAUGGGACAACAGUUGCAAGAAAGAAGGUCAGAGCAGGAAAGGAAGACAAGGUUGGUGAAGCAAUCUAGCUAUGUUCAAAUUCACAAUGAUGUUUUGAUUUAAAUAGAUGUGCAUUUUUCUUUUUGACCUGCCCAUUACUGUAAGUUACUGAUUUUUUUGCCUGAUUGUUUGGUGUUUUACUUGCUUGGCUGUGGAUGCCAAUCAAAUGAUGAAUCUUAGUUUACCUGGGUAAGCCAUUUAUUUUCAAUCUGGUUAAUCAUUUUUAAACUGUCCUACUUGUUGUUUUAACUAAUCAUUCCAAGAUUUAUGUUUGUUAGGAGGUUAUGACAUGGAACAAAAAGCUGCAAAAGCUUAUGAUCUAGCAGCACUCAAGUAUUGGGGACCAUCUACUCACAUCAAUUUCCCAGUAAUAAUUCUCUUUUGAAUCAUUCUCAUGCUGUUAGUAGAACUAGGCCUAUAUACCCUUUUAUGGUUACUGGAUAAAACUGUGAUGCUGAUUUGGCAGUUGGAGAAUUAUCAAAAAGAGCUCGAGGAGAUGAAUAACAUGAGUAGACAAGAAUAUGUUGCUCACUUAAGAAGGUAAAUGUGAAUGUGAAAUAUUUCCUUUUGUUGAUGCUGACUAAAUGACUCUUAAUAGUGUAUACAUCUUAGUUCAAUUUGUAAUCAAAGUAAAUUUUACAGGAAAAGCAGUGGAUUCUCAAGGGGGGCUUCCAUGUACAGAGGAGUGACAAGGUCUUAUAAGCCUGCUCAUAUGAAAUUUUAGAAGUCUCAAAGAAAACACAAUAAAUUGGGUUAAAAAAAAGCACAAUAAAUCUCUGAAAUCUCUGACUGUGUUUAUCUGUGUAGCAGACAUCAUCAACAUGGAAGAUGGCAAGCUCGGAUUGGAAGGGUUGCUGGGAAUAAGGAUCUUUACCUUGGGACAUUCAGUGAGUCACUUCUGAACUCGACUUUAAAAAAGAUUGAAAACCAUGUUAUUAUUACUAUUACAUUGUAGCCAACAAAUUGAAGUCAGGGAAAAAAGCUAUUCUUUAUUGGUCAAUGAAACUUGGAACUAAGCUUAGUUUUCCUGAGUUUACUCCAGAUGCUGAAUAGUUAUCUUUAAUCUGCAAUUUUAGGCACACAAGAGGAAGCUGCUGAGGCUUAUGACAUUGCCGCCAUAAAAUUUCGAGGACUGAAUGCUGUGACCAACUUUGACAUAACAAGGUACGAUGUUGAACGAAUCAUGGCAAGCAAUACCCUUCUUGCUGGAGAAAAUGCCAAGCGAAAUAAGGCGCUGCCUCGACCAGGUGAUGAGGCUACAAAGCAAAUCAGCAAUGGUGAACAAAGCAUUACUGUCGCAGUUAAGAACACCAAUGAAGUUGAGGAAUGGAAAAUGAUGCAGCUCUUUCAGUCCUCCGAGCAAGUACCCGAUCAUCAAAAUGUGAUUCAAGCAGAUCAUGGGGCAGAGGAGUCCCCAACAAUGGGGACUACUACUCACUUAUCCAAUGCUUCUUCAUUGGUGACAAGCUUGAACAGCUCCAGAGAAGGCAGCCCUGACAAGUCAAGCCAACCAAGUUUCUUUGGAAUGCCUCCAACUGCUACCAAGUUCUUCUCAAGUUCCGGUAUUAAUAAUAAUACGGUCAGUUCUUGGAUCCCAGCAGUCGAAUCCAGGCCAGACCUAUCCCUCUCCCACAUGCCAUUUUUCGCUGCCUGGACUGAUGCUUGAUCCGCUAGUAGGAGUUUCAGUAGUUCAUGUAGUUUUUAAUGAUGGUCUUGAUGACCUUUUUGUGAAACAAUAUUUGUGAAAGAAAACUUCACUAAUCAAUGUUUAAUUUUAACCUAUCCUAUCUAAUCAAAAUCUUGAAAGAAAUUUGAGGGAGUGAAAGCAUUGGAAAGGAUAAGAUCUUGAAGCUGAUUUAUGAAUUUCAUUUGGUAUGCCAUUCAUAAUGUGCUACCAGCUUUAUUGCUUUGUGUAAGUUCAGGACCAGCUCAGUUUCUGUAUUCUAUGCUUUAGUUUUUGACACCAUCAUUACAUGAUCUCCUUUUUGCCUGAGCUUUCUCCAAAGGUAACAGAGAUGAGAGAUUCCUUGCUCAUAAUUCAAAGAAAGAGGGUUGAAGGUGGAAUAUGGAUUUCCAAGAUCAAAACUUUAGGGGGUCUGUUAAUGAUUACAAUGGACAAUUAGUACGGGAGUCUGUCUGGUAUUUUGGAAAUCCGAUCAAAUUCCCUCUUGUUGGAAAACGUCAAAGUCGUUUCUUUCUAAUCCCACUCACACUUGUGCACUGUGAAACCUAAUCAUGCCGGCCUACAAAGCAAUCCCAUGUCCUAUGUUGGCUACUACAACAACAAUGAAUCCCAAAUAUCUUCACACGUACGUGUGUGGUAGAAGUUGUCACUCACUCGGUGUGAAUAAUGAGUUAUCAUUUCACCAUAAUCAUAUCAUCCUUUUCUGAGAGCUAGGUUCACAUAUGAAGAGGUUACUUUUAUAUGAAGUAAUGGCAAGAUAGUAGAAGUGUAGAACUGGAUAGUCUGGAUUUGCUUGCAUUGAAAUACCAUUGCUAACAAUUUCAAGUCUCUUUCGAAAUCAGUAACUCCAAGUUCAGAUUUAUUUACCAAGUACUAGAUAUUCGGUAGUGACAUUAAUCUUCUAAUUCUAGCAAAGAGCGCUGAUUCCCAGUCAUUUUGCAAUUAAACACAAAAUCCAUAUUUUUUUGUUACAACUACAAAAUCCAUAUUUAUUUAUAUGUAUUUUCACGUCGUGCUAAAAAUUGUAGAGUAGCAUGCUUAUUUCAAAUAAUUUUAUGGUAGAUGAUGACUUUAUCAAUGUACUACAAGAUGAUAGUUAGAGAACGUAGCACGCUUGUUUGUGACAAUUCUAUGUUAGAUGAACACUUUAUCAAUGUACUACAAGAUAAUUGCAUGCUAUUGGGCAACAUAAUAUAUACGGCACAAGGACAACUAUUUUUUUUUUAUUUUUUUGUGAAAAGUACCUAUUAUAUUGAGAAUAAGGUAGAUAAGAGUACAAAAUAGGUACUUGGUGUUUCUAGUGCGAUUCUCAGAAAAAUCAUUAAAUCGUACUAAUUAGGUUGGUUGUCAAAAACUAAUACAAACGAAUAAAGUUGGCUUCACAAAAUAACACAAAAGAUCCUACAUGUGGAGACUUAACCAAACGGCCGACCUUGCAAAGCAAAAAGAUAUGGUAGGCGAAGUCACGAAGACAAUGAAAGUGAGAUUAAGGAAAAAUAUUCUUAGGAGGUUUUGAAAGUAAAAAUGUUUUUCCAUCAAUCUUAUCUCGUUAAAAUCUUUCCCGCAUACAACUUAUAUGUGACGUCGUUAAAUUAAUGAGGAACCCGACUUCAGUGACAAGGGCAGGUCACCUUAAGGACAUGGGACACAUAUCCAUUUUAAAAGGAUUGGCUGGAAUUUAAGGACAUAACAUUGGAGUUUUGGGUAUUUAGCAUGUUUGUUUAUGAUUAUUGUUGACACUUGUCUAUCUCUCAUUGGUGUUUGUUACCCAUAAAUGACCAUAGUUGGUCACCCAAGUUAUUUCCAUUAAUGAGUGAGAAUGUCAAAAACCUUAAGCUUAUUUGUAAAGCAAUACUAAGCAUCACUGGAUGCUACUGAAUCGAGAUAUAAAUCGACAUGUAGCUCCCUUGACUUAAUAUAUGUAGUUUGCAACUAUACAUACUCAUUGUUGUUAGCAUCAAAGGACGGAGCAGAUUCUAUGCAGCAAGGUGCACUUGCACCAUUAAUGUGUAAAUUCUCAAAUAGCCGUAUGCGAAGAUCCAAUGAAGACUAGCGACCUUAAAUUUCUUCCUUUCAUUUUCAUUUUUAAUCCGAUCAAAUUAACCGUCCAUAAUAAGAGUACUUCUUAUUUGACUUCAGGUUCUCACCUUCUAUGUUAGAAACACUUAAUACUGUUUUUUUGGGUUUCAAUUUUGUUAAGGGUAUUAGAAUACAUACAUGAUAAUGUGACAUGGAUAACCGGAUCAAAAUAUUACAUAUUAGUUGCUCGGUUUACUUGCACCUUGGUGCGUAGAAGAAUUUUCGAUCAAAGGAAUCAAAAUAAUCAUUAAUUUUUCUAUUUUGCUUCCGAGAUGGAUUAAAACUUCUGCGUGAAAAGAUUGAACAAGAUCGAUGUUUACAAAAAAUAUAGUGAUUAAGGGAUUUAAGGUUGCUGUUUAAGAGUCAUUUCAGUUCCUUUUGAUUGUAUGGGGUUUAGGGUUUAGGUGCAUGUAAAUUUCGCGUCGGUGAGGAAAGGAUCUUAAACAACGAAAGUAAGAUCUUAACAACCCAUAACAAGGGCACGCCUAUUUUGACAUGCAAGAGAAAACUGCUUUAUUUUUUGUGCAGAAAACUGGAAAAAAGGUAACCUCUCCUUGUGAUAUCAAUGAUAUGAUGAUUUGGAUUGAGAUUUGAGAACGAUGGCUUUUGAUCGAUCUAGGAGAAGCAUCUUGGUUCAUAUAUUCUUAAAGGGUAAAAGAGGGUAGGAGUGCUCGAGUAAAGUGGGAUCAAAAUCAGCAAACAAGAGAAAGAAACAAGUAGCAGAUCAGAGAAAAGAACAGGUAGAUACAACUACUGAUGAUCGAAAACAGAUAGAUAUACAGCUACUGAUGAUCAAAAACAAUUAGGGAAAAAAGAACAUAAAGAGAGAAUAGCAUUGGAGGGUCAAAAGGAAUGGAAUGAACAACUCGACGUGGAAAUUUAAAGAGUGCAAAAGAGGGAGGAAUAUUUGUUGUCCUUAUUUACAGAAAGGUGUACGGCAAUGGAGGAGCGUCUUUGGAAUUCUUUUUCACGUUGAGCAUAUGUUAACUUGCGUGUUCGAGUCAUGCACUCAUGCAUACAUGCGAUUAUAUUGUGUAAAAUUUGACAUGUUUUUGUGAUACAAUACAAUGCAUACAUACGUGUGAUGUGAAGGAGCGUGGAUGCAGUGGGUUGCUGACCUUUCAAAAUCUUUUUAAGGUUUUUCACCAGAAAGGAAAAAUAUUUAAGGUCAAGUUUGUCCAAAUUAUCUAGAAAUUCUUGUAUGCACGACGUGUAUUUAUACGACGCAAUAUUAACCGUUCAUAACAAUUCAUAUGUUUGACAAUCAUGUUUCUAUAUUAUUUUCUCUAAUUCUGACCAUCCAUGUAUGUAUGUAAAGAUACACGCUGUGUACUGAAAAUAUUCUCAAAUUAAUCUCAUAAUUUGUCAGGGUGAGGUAGUGAAAAACUAAAUAAAAUCUCCGGUUGCUUUUAGUUGGGUACUUCUAUGAUCAAUUAGGCCCAACAUUUUGUACACACUACCAUACCCAAGAAUUUUAGUCUUAGGAUUUGGCCCAACCACCUAAGUUGUUUGCUUGUUUAACAAGGAUGGUAUGUGUAGGUUUUCUCUCUAAUUUAGGGGCAAAACUAGUUUCCAUGGACAAUGUACUAGCUAGGGUUUCAAUCACGUCAAUGAUUUCGAGCUCUUGGACAAUUUCAGUAGUAUAUUGAUUUAACACCUAAGUUCGAGUGUUUACUCUCAUGCAUACUUAAAUCUCAACAUCUUUACUGUAUGGUUUAGGUUAGGCACCUCGAGUUUCACUCUAUAAAGCAAGCUGAGAAAUGUGGGCAUCUGGGUACGUAGUAAAUCAAAGACGAAUUACAAACGUAUAGCAUCACCACUCCACCAGCUAGAUCCAGAAUAGCUUUACUGCUCAUGAAGCAGCGAAAGCACCAAGCCAGGUGAUUUGUUAUUUAGCAAGAUCAAAAUGGGACUGUAAGGCUAAUUGGUCAACCGAAAACCACCACAGAAUCGAUGCAAGAUUUGGUUGCUUGCUAGCUAGCUCGCUAACUAUAAGCCUCAGAUUGCUCUUUUUUUCCAAAAGUGGUUCUGUGUGUUUCAGCUUCAUCUGGAAAUCAACAUCUAAACAGACCCAGCAGAGUUGGCAUGUCGAGCAUAAACGCGCAAGAGUCAUAUUCACACGCACACCCGAUGGAGUCUCUUCGAUAGGAGUUUGUCCCACGCAUGCGUGCUUAUACAAAAGUUAGAUGUUUGGUGUUUAUGUAUUAGGACGCAGAUGAUAUUGAUUUAUAUCGAAUAGGUGGUUGAUAUGGAAAAGAGUAGGUGUUAUCCAUAGUCGAUCAUGCAGUGCGCAAGGCAUUACGUAUCCCUUUUUCAUAUAGGGCCUAGAUAUGAAGACUAAGAGGUUAAGAGUGGCUAAUGAGAAUUGGAAAGAUUGGCAAGGCAUUUGCCUGAGUAAAACUCUCACUUAAGUUCAAGCCCCAUCAGUCACAAGUCCCGUAUUGAUAGGUUAUUGAGUAUUGCAGACUUGCAUGAAAUUUAUGAAGCUGGUAAAAUAUGUCAACUUCCAAAAGAGUCUGUGUCAUGGUGAGGCCCGAUUGCGGAUGCCUGUGGCUUUACAAGGUGGAAAACUUUUUCAUCUUAGGUCAACGGGGGUUGAUUGUACGCACGUGGUACGUAACAAGGUUGUACCCAUAUGUUAGAUGAGUUCACAGUCGGUUCAUAAUUAAUGUUUUUAAGUUGGUGGGUUGUCUUCCUUAAAUCUAAAUACCCUCUACCAAAAAGAAAAGAAAAAAAGACAAGAGUCAAAGUUGAUCACAAGUUAUAUAUAACGAAGACUAUUAUUUAAGUAAUACAUAAGAUAUGAAAAAUCAAGAUAUAAACGGAGACAAUAAUUAACCCUGGUUAGUCCUUUAGAAUCAGGCUCAAGUGAAAGAUUAGGUCAUUAGGUGAUUUAGGUCACAUCCAUAUCUCUCAUAUGCAAAUAUGUACCCUGCUAUAGCUAGUUUCAAGUUAGAGACAAGUUAACAUAAACCACAAGCGCUCGUGUGGAAAUGACAUCAGCUAACAUAGACCAAGAUGUUCCAACAUUGGGAUAUUUACAUGUCUGGGGACCAAGUUGGGUUUUUGUCUUAUGAUUUGGAGGCGUGGGAGUCAUAAGAACAAAGAGGCCUAGAGUUUAAGGUCCUUCAAACCCAAUUGGACAUUCCUUCACUUUCUGUUGGUCUACAUGACCCCUCAAAUGCUUCAAUCACUGCCCAACAGAAUGUUGGUCUGUUGGGGCUUAUGUAACUUUCAACAGAAUCAACCAAUAAAACUAAUGGGGCCAUCGAUAUAAGCCCAAACUCCUGUAAAUUUUCUAUAGCACUAACAUAAAUGAUUCCCCAAAUUUGCUAAUUGGUUUCAUAAUUUCUUUCAAUUGAGGUACACUCUACCCAUGUUUUUUGCAGCAAUAACAAUGCCUUGUUUGAUUCACAUGUCAGCGUUUGUUGAAAUAAACUAUAAAAUUAUUAGGUGAAAUGAUAAAUUACAUAUACAGAGAGAAUGAGAUGUAUCGAGUACAUUGAAUAAUUUUUUAUAUUUAAUUAUUUAGAACUGAAAAAAUAUGAGAAUGAACUCUUGAAUCACCUUAUACACUUUAUGAUUCCAUGAACUGCUACCACCACAUUCUAUUUUAGACUCAAGAUCUUCAACUCACCUAACUCGUAUGAAUAUUUGCCAAUAAUUGUGCAUAUUUCAUCAGUUUGCUUAAGAUCGAGUUUGUACUCAAGGAAGUACCGAGUCCCUGAAGCCACCCUAGCUUGUAACCUAAUAAAAUGAUAAGCAAGCGUCAUUCUCGAUCAACGAUCUCGUCGAGUCUAGAUAACAAGAGUUAACAUAUUGCUGCUUAGCUAGAGAUCAUAAUGAGAAACUUUUACAAGUUGACUGGAAUAUUAUAGAGAUUUAGGUGCAAUGCUUCAGUACAUUGAUCUGGUUUGAGGGUAUGUGGGGUUGCUAGCUAGGCAGAAUCGUGUUAAGAAUAAUGGUUCAUCUUAAUCAUUGUAUCCAGCUCAUGAGGAAAAGAAAAACCAAAACCUCUAUUAUCUUCACCAGGUGUGUGUUUGAUUAGCUCACGUACUCUUCCCUCUCGAUAAUCUUAAUUUAUCCCCCAAAUUCAAUCCUAUUAUAUCAAAUCCAAACUUGAAGACCCUUCGCGCUGUUAAUCUGAGAUCCAUGUUUGUAAAGGGAAAGUGGUGCUGUGCUACCUAGUCAUGGCAACCAUGUCCAACCAGUAAUCAUAGAAGCUGAGAAAAUGCAGAGACUUGAGAGUCUUAAGAUGAGGAUAUUUUGGCUGGCAUAUAUUGCUUGGUUUAGAAGCAAUUUGUUCUGCUUUGACCUUAUCUUAGAAAAAAUGGAAAGCUAUGGAUUUAGGAUAAACCCACACCGACUUUGUUUUACUUUAAUAGAUCUAUUAGUCUAUUACCAACCAAAUUUUGGAUUGCUGUUUCAUUUCAAAGGUACCAGACAAUUAGGCAUGUAAUGUUUACUUGAUAGUUAUAUAUAUAAUUAGAACUAACCCUCACUUUCAGGACGCCGUUAUAGACUUUACCAAGUAAGCAUGCACAAAGCAUAUCAAGGGAUGUUGAUUACAUAUAAGGAAUGUGAUUGUGAUUAUACAAGUAAAGAGACUACUAAACCGAAGGUUACAAUUUGCCAUCAGUUACAAAGCGAUUGUAAUCUCUUUUUAAGUAGUUUGUUAAACACACCAUCUUAAACUUUGGGUACGUUUUCAAUUAGUUCCAUUUUUUGUUCAUACCUCUAUUUUCUUUGGCGUAAGUGAUUUAAGGUUUAGAAUGUGAGUCAGACUUAGAACAUUCGGCUUACAAAACCAGUAAAGUCACUGUAAACAAUAUUGAAGUUGCCCUUGCUUGCUAGUUUGCUUUUGUACAAAUGAGGUCUUAUCAUUGCUUUGGUUUUAUAUCGUUAUAUGAAAAAAAAUCGCACGUAGUCUAUUUACGUCAAGUGCUCACGUAGUGGUAAAACCCACAAAAUACGGGGCUGACGUCUUUGUAAUAGCCGUUGCAUAUGGCAGUCUAUGCACAAUUUUUCACAUAUUGACAUGUUUUUAGAGACGCAUGUAAAAAACAAACAUAUGCUCGAAAGAAUGUCGAGUGUAAUCAUUAAAUGUUUGUAUUUACAUCUCAAGAACUGUACAAACAUAUUAAGAAUCACUCGAUCUAAACUCAAUUCAUUACAAAACGUGACAUUAAUGUUAUCGGUCGUUUUUCUUACGAAGUUAUUUAUCUCAAAUAAAAAAAAAAUUGAUUAAAAGAAAAAAGAAUAGAGCAAAGAAUUGGUCCAAUUGGAACUGGUUUGAUGGAGAUUACCUUGAUCUACUCAUGUUCUUCCCAUUGUUAGUUAGCCUUGCCCAUUAUUUCUGUCCUUGUUCAAUCAAUAUGUAAAAUCUGUACUAGAUGCCCACCUUUCCAAUUUCCAUCGUCCCUUCCCUCUCUCGCAGAAUCGUACUCCCACAUUUCCAGUUCACCUGACACCACCGUCCUUCCCUUUCCCUCCUCCGUAGCUCCAUUUAAUCAUGCACAGUCAACGAUCCCCCCAUCACAAAAGUCCCCACAUCCAGCGGCCCAAAACCCUCCAACGCUUCCAUUUCUUCCAUCACAAGCCACCCAUUUCUCCUCCCCUCGACCCUAUCGAUCAGAAAGUCCCCGCUGGUUCCCCAGAACUGCAACCCGGGAAUUUACCAUACUAGCCUCGUCGUCUUGUCACUUUCGUUAUGGUGCAGAGCCCAGUCCACCGCACUCAUUAUUUAUUUUUUCCUUUCACCAAAUGAGAAUUUGAGAAUUACAGCAUCACUCUCUCUCUCCCAACUUAGUUAGUGCUUCCCACUCCCUCUCUUUCUCUAAAAACUCUGAAAUUUCAAUAACAGUUUCUUGUUCUCUUUCCCAGAAUUAUAAAAACACAGCUCCCCUCCUCUCUUUUCUCCCUAUUUUAUAUGUAUGCCUGACCCUCCAUAACAGAAUAUCACAGCAUUCAUUAAAGUGUGAACAUUUUUUCACAUAUACAUCAACACAUACCACCCAACACCAAAAGUCCCAUAAACCCAACCAAAGGUACCAUUUUGGGUACACCCAUCUCUUCUGUUGUGCUCCAUCCCACAAAACCCAGAUUGAAAAGAACACAAAAAAGGGUUUUGUUUUUGUACACAGGAAUCAACAGAACAAAACCCAAUUUCUAAUGGGUGGUGGUUGUGUUCGGAGGAGCAGAAGCAGUAGUAGAACUAGAACUAGUUCAUGUCGUGUGUUUCUUCUAGUUGUGACUCUGUUGUUCCGGCCAAGCCAAUCAGAUCCGAGCGACGAGGCAUGCCUAACUCAUCUAAGCCAAUCCCUACAAGACCCGAACCACUCGUUACAGAACUGGACCAAAUCCACCUUCGCAAACCCAUGUAGCGGCUUCACUUCUUAUCUCCAAGGCGCCACUUGCAACAAUGGCCGCAUCUACAAGCUCUCCCUCACCAACCUCUCUCUCCGUGGCUCCAUCACUCCUUUCCUCGCCAACUGCACCAAUCUCCAGUCCCUCGAUUUGUCUUCCAACUUCAUCGCCGGCCCUAUCCCGCCGGAGCUUCAGUCUCUUGUCAAUCUCGCCGUGCUGAACCUCUCGUCGAACAGAUUGUCCGGCCCGAUUCCGCCGCAGCUCACAUUGUGUGCUUACCUCAACGUCAUCGACCUCCACCAGAACCUCCUCACCGGGACCAUUCCCCAGCAGCUGGGUCUGCUCGUUCGCCUCUCGGCUUUUGACGUCAGCAACAACAAGCUGUCCGGUCCGAUUCCGAGUUCUCUUGGGAACCGGAGCGGGAGCUUGCCGAGAUUCAAUGCGACGUCAUUUGCCGGGAACAAGGACCUUUAUGGGUACCCUUUGCCACCUAUGAAAGCCAAAGGGCUUUCGGUUCUGGCCAUUGUUGGGAUCGGAUUGGGAAGUGGGCUUGCGAGCUUGGUGCUUAGCUUUACUGGGGUUUGUAUAUGGCUCAAAAUCACAGAAAGAAAAAUGGCUCUUGAAGAAGGCAAGAUCACUCAGCUUAUGCCUGAUUAUUGAAGACCCUAUCUAGUCUAAUCCCAUUCAAUUCUUCAGCUUCUCUCUUGGGUUAGUUAGUUUCUGCCCUCUUUGUUUCUUUUUUGGGAUCAAUUUGCUUAGUUUGGUUUUUGCUCCUUAACCAUUUUGGGUCACUUGUUUCUUUUUCUGGUUUGGAUAUCUCUAUAACCUUUUCUAAACAAUGCAUGUAUAGACCCCCAAUUCAAAACAAGAAUGCUUCUUCAGUCAAAUUAGCAGCAGCUAGCUCUAUAAAUCUCUAUUUUUCUUUCUUUCCCCUCAUCCGAGUCUCAAUGAUGUAAUGUAAUAUGUAACUGAGACAAUAUAAAUGGAUUUCUCAUCCCUCUCUGUGUUGCUUUAGUUCUUUCCUAAAUUGCAAAAUAGCAGACUGUCGAGCACUGUAGAAGAGAACCCGGCAUCUUACAAGUUUGCAAAGUCCAUGAGGCUCUCUGUGGCUGUGUGUGUGGAGUGGGGUUAAGGUUGGGGGGAAAUUGGGGCUUAAUCAUAGUGCAGUUUUGUCUGGCAGUGAGCUAAAAUAUGGUAAGCUAGUUAUAAUAUAAUUGGGGUGCUGAGGUUUCAGUUGGUUUUGGAGGUCUAGUGCUUGUUGGCCUUUGUGAGGAGACCAACAAAACCACAUGGUAUGGACAUUGUCGACACAUCUGAGCCUGUUGAAGGCUUUUAAUAUGGGGGUGAUGAUCAUCUCUGCUCUGCCUAGGCCAACAUUCCGCACAACCUUGCUCCUCAUUCUACUUGGGUUUUUAGUCUUAUCACUUCAUGUUGGUACAAAAGUUAACAGUGCAUAACAUUCGAAACUAAUCUAAGGGCAAUGUGCUACGAGUGAAUGCGCUACGAGUGUGAGUAACUAGCGGUAGGAGUGACAUACUAGGAGUGUGAGUAACAACGACUUAAGUGUGAAUAACGACUUAAGGAGUUGGUUCUCUAGUUUGCUAGCAUUAUGAACAUGGUAGAUGCAGUAGCAGCAGUACUUAAAUAAGAGUGCAUACUUGGUAGUUUUGCAUUUUGGGAAUGAAAGGGUAGUUCUAUCAACACUUUCCAAUAUUUAGUAAUAUUUUCCCAACUUGUAUUGAUGAUUAGCUAACAUGUAUGUAGUGGUUCACAUUAUUGUGGCUUGUGGGCUACUGGGGUCUUGCGGUAUAUUUUGUAGGAUAUAAGCUCCUUUUGCCCCCACUCCAUCAAUUUUUUGUACUUAUUUUGCCAAUAUAAACGUGGGUCUAGAGACUCUAGGAUCCUAGCUAGUUUGGCCUGUUUGGGAUCUUUAAGCCCUCCCUGGGAUUCAAGUUUGUGUAGCGGUAGACGAGGGAGGGGUAACCCGCAGCUUAGAGUUUGGACAGCUUAGGUGGGGGACUAAGUAAUUUAAAAAGAUAUAUAUAUAUAUAUAUAUAUUUACUGAUCAAAACUAUAUAUUUUAUGUAAUCAUAAUCUUGAAACAGUUAAAUAUGGAUAAAUUAUUCAACAUAAAUCUUAUGAGACCUAUUCAUAUUUAUAGGAUAAAUUUAUCCAAGAUUAACAUAACUUCCUUAUACACUUCUAAUUCUAAACACAUAUUUCACUCUUAUACUUUCAUGCUCCCCACAAUAUCAACCCCAUCACAAAAAGAAAACAAAAUAACCGCAGAGCUUAGUAGCCUAGGCGGCAUUUAGGCAGCCGUCUAAUUGCCCACAACCUAACAUAAAAGCCUAGAAGAAAAGUGAGACGGCUUGUUGCAGCUUAGAGCUUAGACGAGGACUAGGCGAUCGCCUUUUAGAAGCCUUAUUUAAAUUAAGGUAGAUUAAUGACAUUAAGAUACUCUUAGAUUUGUUUGUUGUGUAAGCUUUGUGUGUAUCUAUGUGCCACAAAACCUAGAUUCUAGUAAAGGAUGAAUUUUUAUUCGAGUAAAGCUCUCCUCUCUUGCGAAUCACUCAUGGGUUUGGUGGCAAAACGUGAAUGAAUCCAAUUUCUUAAGCAACAAAGAUGAUUAGAACUUUGAGGAAAAGGAACUUUGCCUCCAUGGUUAUUGUCCGUCAUGAUCAGCUUUGAACAAGGGAAGCACAUGUUUUGUGUUUAAAGAGUACUAAUGACAUGUUUGGUUCUGCUUUUAAGUAGUGUAAAAAGCACUUUCACACAGCUUAAAAGUUUUAUGGGUAAAUUCAUUAUACGGUACCUUGACUACUGAGACAGUUUGGUAUCUCAUGUAUAAAACUGGUACCUCAAGUAUUAUUAUGUUUUCCUAUAUAGUAUUUUUCGGUCUCAAUCUAAAAAUUAAAUAUGUGAAUGAAAAUCAAACGUGUCAAAAGAAUUAGAUUAUUCGGGUAAUGAUAAUAUAUAUGUGAGGUUCAAAUUUCCUAUGAAACUUUUAAAAUACAUUAAACUUGAUUAGCUCGACCAAAUUAGACAAAGAUCUGAGAGACACCUCAUUGAAUAUUUGUCUCUAAGAAUCAUCACCAUCAAAGUUGUCACAUUCUUCUACAUCAUAUUACACUAUACCAAGACUUGUAUGUGUCUAAUCAAGUUAUCAAAGACCACCUGAUCUAAUGGCUGUAACCCCAUACAAUCACUUUCUUCGUCUUCUUCUUCUCCUUCUUUUCUUUCAUCUCACACCGAAAGCAGAGCAUGGUCAAAUGAGCUUUCAUUUCCUCUCAUCAACUUGGUCCUCCGAGAAUGGCAUGCAUUUCAUCAUGGAGGUUGGGUCCCUUCUCUUCCACAUUCAGGUUGUGCAAUUGAGUAGGGACUUUGAUUUCUUCUCCAAAACCAUGUUGAUGCAUGCUCAUCACUCGGCGAGUCAAGCUUGGAGUACUCUUGGACCAGUCACAAGAGCCGUGUGUUUUGCCAUCAAUGUCUUUGCUUGCUGCAACUUCGAACUGGUUCAUUACCGGCAGGAGUCAGGGUGGUUUGGACCACACCUUGUGACAAUGGGAGGCCUUGGUAAUAGUCGUAGAGGCUUUUGCAUGAAUUGACUGAAAUGAUAUAUUUAGCCGUGUGUUGUUACUUGUUAGUAAGUACUACUUGUUAAUAAGCACUAAGUAGUAUCAUAAAUGAGUAAAGUUCGAGCUCAAUAUAGUUAACUUAUAACUUUUUUAUUAUUAUUUUUUUUAUGAAAGACUUAAAACUCAUUGAAUUGUAUACCAUAUUUAAAUCUUUAAGCUUGUACUUACCUUUUUACAUAACUCCCAAAAAUUUAAUUAAACUAUUGAGAACUUAGUUUUGUAUAUUGUUCUUCCGGGUUAAGCCAAGUGAUACUAGAGGUGUUGAGAAUUGUGUUAGGAAUAUGUUAGAAUCAAGGAUUUGAAUCUCCUUUAAUAAGACCAAAGGAUGAUCACCUUAGUGUUCAUGGUUUGAUAAGGGUGAAGCAACUCUAGAAGACGAGAAUCUUCUUAAGUCUCUUUCAAGGUCUACAAAAAAAAAAAAAAAAAAAUGAAAGAACAAAAAAAAGAUUUACAAGACCCUUUUACCUUACCCGUAAUCGGACUCCUAUUGUGCGUCUUGAUCUUUGAUGCAAUCAACUGAUUAUGUUUGUUGAUGUUUUGGUUGUUUCUUUAUUUUGUUAUUUCUUCUAAAGAAUUUUGGCUUCAUGUGCCCCUUAGAUUCUAUCUUUAUUUUUAAUAAAUUUUUCACCUCAACUUGUGUACAUCCUAUUACUUUUCGUUGUGAAGAGGAAAACUUCGUGUUCAUGUAUUGAUGGCCUAAAUGUAUAUUAUGCAUGACCAUGAACCUACUUAUAAACCAUUUGCUUAUAAAUCCUACCCCAUGAAAAUUCUUGGGUGUGGAUAUCUGUCAUUGGGCUUAGUUCUUCAAGAAGCCAAUAUAUUGAGUUAUGCGGCCCACGACUCUCCUAGCACAGCUUUGAAGAGCCUAGCUAGUUGAAUCCAUCGAUGGCGGUACCAGAGAUCCAAAGGCAUUGCACUGCCUCCGCUGUAAUCAAAACCGAAAGGUUUCUCGAUCUCUGUUGUUGAAUAUACCCGAGUAGACUGUGUUUGGUUUAUAGGGCACAUUAUAUUCAAAGCAAAUGCUGUUGGCCUUGGCUCCAAAAUCGUCAAGAGGCAUCGACGAUGAAAGGAAUAUUGAUCUCUCCCCAAGGAAUUCAGAUGAUGCAUGGUUCUAUCUUCUAUGGCGAAUGAUCUGAUUCCCUCGAGCAACGUAACAUGCCUUGUAAACAAGAAAGAAGAGGAUCAUUCCCUUGUACUAUUCAUCUCCUUCAAAACUGCUCUACCUUCAUAGAUACCACACUGUUAAUUGAUUAUAUCAUCACAUUUUUUCUUAUAUGGUUAUAGUUUUUAUAUGAUCUGCCUCUGUGUUUAGGUUGAAGGCUUGUUUUGAAGUCGUCCAGUAGGUAAUUAACGAACUUAUUUGGUUGGAUGCAUUCGACAUUCUAAUCCUAUAUGCGUCGAAAGUCAAAACAUGACAAAGUUUUCUGAUCGAUCAAGAAGCCCCGAGCGCUCCUCACCUGUGUAAUGUGCUCUGCUAGAGCUGUAACAGGAAUAAUCAAAAACCCUGCUCGCCGCCGCCGGGGAUUGCAGAGAAGAAUUCGAGAGAAAUACACCCUCAAGUUUCUCAUGCUCAGGUAUAUUCUAGCCACCGUCUUCCCUAUUUCUUCAUGAUACAGGUUUUUGUGUUUCAUGCCAUUGCCAAUAGGCAGAGAUCGACUUAUAAGUAGUUGCCAUGGAUUUGUUAUAUAUAGUCCAAUAAUGCCGGGGACCUAAGAAAAUAAAAGAAGGCAAUAACAACCAUAAGAACAAGAGACAAAAGACCUAGUUAUCGAUUUAUCUCAUCCAUAUAAUGUAUAAAACUAGCUAUAAACAGAAGGUUAUCACUGAAAUUUGCAUCAGUAUAUAGCUGAUGCAUGUUAGUAUCUGGUUCUUGUAAUAGCUCACGUUUUCUGCAUUGGCUGAAACUUGUUGAUGUACCAUGCAUAACAAUGACUCUACCAGAGAAAUAAUCAUCAAACAGAUAUUAUCAUCCUUAUGUGGACAGCCCAUUUCGUCAAAUUAAUGGUGGCCGAACACGCAGAAAAUCAAUUUGAAACUUGUAUGAACUCAUUUUCAGCCAUUUAUUCUAACUUUUCUUUUGUAUUUAUAACAGUUAAUAUGAAAAGAAAAUGAAGUGUUAGAUGAAAGUUUCCAGACUCAAACUUAGGACCAGUCUGUGAAAUGGUUAGACACUUGGGCCAUACUCUUUUGAAUUAUACUGCAUGCUUAAUGAAUCAGAUCUUAAGACUUGUUUGCCUAAUUUGCUAUGCUUUUCGUAUUCGAAAACUGCACCAUCUCUUUGUCUAGCCAGGUACAAAACAGUUGUCUAAUGUAUGAAAAUUGUAGUCUACGGGGUUGGUGUUUGAUAGAGGUUCUCGUAUUAUUCAUCCAUCGACACAGUGGUAGAGCAAUUCCGGGGGAAGACCAUAACUCUCCUCCAUAUAGCCGAUGAACAACAGGUUUCUGAUGUACGCAUUGUUCAGCAAAAGCAUAUUUCUCUUUCAAACAAGACUCUGAUUUAUCUCCUCCAUGCGAACAAUGUAAGAAUGGGGCUUGAAGUAAACUGAAAGCUUCAAUGCCAGCAACCAUGGGGCAUAUAUGAAUACCCACACUCAUGGCUGGUAGCUACUAGCUAGUAUUUAAAAACCUCGCCCCCUGCAACUGUAGGUUACAAGUGAAGAUCCACAUCUCCACGUGUUUGGCUGUUUCGCCAAUCAUUUUUUCUUCACAUUUCAUUUGCAUUGAUCUCUUGAUUAAAAAACAGGCGGCUGUUUAACGACUAUUAAUGAUUUUGUUAUCAAUUCAUAAAGCACGGUAUAAUUAGCAUUUAAUUUAGUGAUCAUAAAGUUUCUCUCAAACAAAAUAUUCUCAAAUUCGUUAGGUUAUGUUUCCAAGUCUUGUUCAUCCGCGAAACAAUCUUUUAACAUGUGAUACGACGAACUCUUAACCCACACCAACACAAUGUAGUGUAAAUUGAGAUCAUGCUUAUGACUUGUAUAAGAUUGUAGUUGGAGAACAUAUAUCACUGGUGUCAAAACGCUUUUUCUCUAUUAGCCACUUAAAAUAUAUUGAAACCUCCAAAAAUCGUCGUCGGAAUUCAAAUCUGUCUAUGAGGGCUUUAAACAGUAAGAAGUCGACCAUAUGUGGUUGUUAACUUGUUAUCCUAUCGAUGAUUACAAUCUCGACCGACGGUGUACAAGGAAAUUGAAAUGAUAUAUGUGAAAAUGAAACCAUACCCAACGCAGAAAGUAAAACAUUUGGAGCUAUUUGGCUUCUGCAGUAGUGUCAUAAUCUGGUUCAGUAACAACAAUGGAGAAUCGGGUAGGUGUGUAAAUACACCAUAACUACGAUCAUUAAGCAGACCACAACCCUCAGCCACAUGAUAAAAUGCAACUACACAAACCAAUCUUCCAGACUCAUCUUCCACCACAACCAAGCUCACAGCUUUUUGCUCAGACCCAUCUUCCCCAUAAAACUCACCUUCCCUCAAUCUCUCUCUGCUUCCAUAAACCCACAACACCCGAAAGCUUAACCAGUUCCACCUGCAUUCUGACACAAACAGAGAAGAGAACCAAACAAGGGCAUUCUCCUUCUUCUUCUUGUUCUUAUUCUUCGUCUGGGUCUUGUAAUUCAUCUUUUAAUUCAAAGAUGGCGACAAUGAUGGCGAUCGAUCCGCACGUUGUCUGGACAUUCCUGGCUUCUUUAUUGGGUUUCCUUCUUCUCUUCCUUCUCCGUCGCCGGAAUUACGGUAAUGCCACCGCCAAGGACAAAGGAAAUGUUAAAAACAAGAACAAGACGAGCGAGGAUCAUGUUUCAGAAGAAUGUCUGAAGAGCUCCGGCACUGACGUCAUCAUCGUCGGCGCCGGGGUUGCUGGCGCUGCUCUUGCACACACCCUAGGAAAGGUAAUAAUGAAGUUAACAUUAUUCUUUUUACUAAAGUAAAUGGUUUGCUCCAAAAUGGUUGAAGACUUGAAGUCAUGAAUUUGGCAUGGUUAGUUUUAUCAAAUUGUUAGCUAGCUUUAUUGAGAUUGUGGGUUUGAUUGUUUUUUGGAAAGUUGAUGACGCAAUUUAGUGGAGUUUUGAGAUGGGAUACGGUUAAUAGUUAAGAGGAAAAGAAAUUAAUGGCAUAUGAACAAGUGAGAGUUUGGGGUUUCUAGCUUUCUACUUCAGUGUUGUUUGUUGCACAAGUUAUGUACUUGUUAUUUAGCAUUGAGGUCCCUUUGAGAGAGACAUACGUGUAGAAUUAGUGUGGAAGCUUACCGGAUCUUGUGCUGAUCUCAGGAGGGAAGACGUGUUCGUGUGAUUGAAAGAGACUUGACAGAGCCGGAUCGAAUUGUUGGGGAACUUCUCCAGCCCGGGGGGUACCUGAAACUGAUUGACUUGGGACUUGAAGGUAAUGAAAGCUAGUAUUUUCGAGUUUCGUAUGAUAGUUCUUAUACAUUUAUAUGGCCGUGAUUGAAAUGCCUAGGUAGUAGCUUGGUUUUGGUUGUGAAACGAAGACUAAUAUUAUGAGCAUUUGGCUUCAGAUUGUGUUGAGGAAAUCGAUGCUCAGCGAGUUCUUGGAUAUGCUCUUUUUAAGGAUGGGAAGAAUACUACGCUGUCCUAUCCCCUGGAACAGUUCCAUUCAGAUGUGGCGGGUAGAAGUUUCCACAAUGGACGGUUCAUACAGAGGAUGAGAGAAAAAGCUGCCACUCUUCCCAAGUAAUGUUUGUUGCCUCAUCGGAAUGAUCCCUCUUUUUGUUCUUUAAAUUGUCUUAGUUUUUCAAAAAGUUCCACUGUUAUGCCACAAACCCCUUCUUUAGAUUUCUCUUGUGCUAGAAAAUUCUUGAUCUCCUUGGAGGGUUGGAUGCUUAUGUGUUUAAUGUAUAUAUUCAGUGUACAAUUGGAGCAAGGUACAGUCACAUCUCUGCUUGAAGAAAAUGGGAUAAUUAAGGGGGUUCAGUACAAAACCAAGGAUGGUCAAGAACUUCAAGCUCAUGCUCCACUUACGAUUGUCUGUGAUGGUUGCUUCUCAAAUCUGCGCCGCACUCUUUGCAAGCCUCAGGUAAAGUUGCCUAGUUUUAACUACUGGACUCUCUUAGUUGGUCUAAUCAGGAUGAACUUGCAGAAACAGUUGACCAAUUUGUUUUUCAUCUCCCAGCAUCACAACAUUUAUGCUUUACUAACAUUCAAGUGUGCUAAAUUUUCACAUUAUAUUCAGACUUUACACUGGCACAGAUAAAAUUAAUCUCCUUGACAGGUAGAGGCGCCUUCUUGUUUUGUGGGAUUAAUUUUGGAAAAUUGUGAACUCCCAUUUAUAAAUCACGGGCAUGUUAUUCUAGCUGAUCCAUCUCCGAUCCUGUUUUACCAAAUCAGUAGUACAGAGGUCCGCUGUUUAGUUGAUGUGCCUGGCCAGAAAGUACCACCCAUCGCCAAUGGGGCAAUGGCUAACUAUUUGAAGAAUGUGGUAGCUCCACAGGUACCUUUCUUCUUUUGAUAUUGCAGUGCUUAAAUUCAAAAAUAUGGAAGCAUGUUGCUUGAUCCUGUUGUAUUGGAAAGCACUUGCCUCAAUUUGAAACUUUAGUUGCCAGUCUAUUACCCGUAAUUAUUCCUUUAGCUCCUUUUUCACCUGAGCCUGUUUCUUCUAUUUUGGAUUAAUCCAGUAAAUGUCUGUUUCAGCUUCCACCUGAACUUCAUGAUCCCUUCGUAUCUGCAAUUGACAAAGGAAAUAUUAGAACUAUGCCGAAUAGAAGCAUGCCGGCCAAUCCACAGCCAACUCCUGGAGCACUUUUAAUGGGCGAUGCUUUCAAUAUGCGUCAUCCUUUAACUGGUGGAGGAAUGACUGUGGCACUAUCAGACAUUGUUAUACUCAGGGAUCUUCUUAAGCCAUUACGUGAUAUAAAUGAUGCUCCUUCGUUGUGCAACUACCUAGAAUCCUUUUAUACCUUGCGCAAGGUAAGCUGUGUUGCCAUUAUCGUACUUCUUAUUUAUCUCUAUGGCAUAAUUUGACAAUAUAUGUGACUGUCUUAGGUUUUCACUGUUGAAAGUAAAUUUUAGUGCAUUUAUAUCAAUCAAAAGAACUGCUUGAAAUAUAUACAAUUGAGUAAUGUUCAAGGAAGAGUUGUUUGGAUUGAGAUCAUGUUUUUACUUUACACAUUACUCAUCACAUGACUUUUGAUGUUGCUUUUGCAGCCGGUUUCAUCUACGAUAAACACCCUGGCAGGUGCCCUAUACAAGGUGUUCUCUGCCUCCCCUGACCAAGCAAGGAAGGAGAUGCGCCAAGCAUGUUUUGACUAUCUGAGCCUUGGAGGUGCCUGUUCAACUGGACCAGUGGCUCUGCUCUCUGGUCUAAAUCCUCGCCCGCUGAGUUUAGUUCUCCAUUUUUUUGCUGUUGCGAUAUAUGGUGUUGGACGUUUGCUUCUACCAUUUCCUUCACCAAAACGCAUCUGGAUUGGAGUGAGAUUAAUUUGGGUGGGUUUUUCUGCUACCAAUUUCCUCAAAUUCAUUACCAUCACCAUAAUUCAAUACCAGACAUUUCAAAGUCAAGCAUAUAUACUUCCUUGAUGAGAUUGGUAUCCUAUAGUGUGUUUCGAAUCGUUCUCUCUAAUUCUUAAUGAAGAUCUUAUCUUUCUUUUCUCAGGGCGCAGCAGGCAUAAUAUUUCCCAUCAUCAAGGCAGAAGGUGUGAGACAGAUGUUCUUUCCUGCUACUAUUCCAGCUUAUCAUAGAGCUCCUCCUGCUAACUGAGAUGCAAACAAUAAUAUCCAAGACCAAGAUCGAGUAAAGUGAUCUUCAGACUUGUUAUUUUCAAGAUUCCUGUAAUAUCAGCUCCUACCUGUAAAACUCCACAUUCGUGUAAAACUCCACAUUCGUGGAUCUUAUAGUGCCCAAUUCCAGAGAAAGUAAAAGCUGAGUAAUAUAUAUGUAAAAGAUUUGUAUUGAAAUUGCAAUGUACCUUUCUUACAUUUCCAUGUCCAGCCUAUACAGGUGAAUUUCUCUCCUACAUGUUUUAUGAAUUAAUCCAACUGCAUCCAGGUGUCUUCACCUCCCCAGUUCUGUUCAUUAAUUCUCUCACAUUAGCUGCUUCUUCCCAUUGACCAGCAGCUGCAUAUAUACUUGCCAAAAGCACAUAAACUGAUGGAUUGUUUUGUUCAGUUUCAAGGAGAUAUCCAGCAACUAUUCUUCCUAGUCUUAAGUUACCAUGUGCUGCACAGGAACUAAUUAGCGUCCACCAAAUAUUCGGAUGUGCUUCAAUUUCCUUGCUGUUUAUCACUGUUUCUGCCUCAUCAAGGUACCCGGCACGACCGAGAAGGUCAACUAUACAAGAAAAAUGAUCUACUUCUGGCAUAAAGCCGUAAUUACUAAUCAUGGAAUUGAAAAUUUGUGUACCAUCAUGAACCAAACCGGCAUGGCUGCAAGCGGAAAGAACUGCAGUGAAGGUUGCCUGGUCUGGUGUGAUAGAAGAUAAGUCUUGCAUUGCCUCAAAACAAUCAACAGCUUUCUUUCCUUUCCCAUGUUGUGCAUAAGCUGAUAUCAGGGCAUUCCAUGAGACUAUAUCCUUUUCAUUCAUUGCUUCAAACACUCUUACCGACCAGUCUAAAACCCCGCAUUUAGCAUACAUUGUAAUGAGGGCAUUGCCUAAGCACAGUUGUUGAGAGAACCCAAAUUUGAGAAUGUAGGCAUGAACUGGUUUUCCAUCUCUCAAGGAUGUUAUGCUAGCACACAUGCUUAAAAUUAUACUCAGGGUAUACACAUCUGGACCAAGUUCUGACACUAGCAGCUCAUGAAAUUGCUCUAACCCUUCAUUUACCAUUCCAUUCAGCAUGAAUCCAGAAAUAAUAGCAUUCCAGGUGAUCAAGUUUUUGUACUUGGUAUCUUGGAAUGUCUGAUAGGCUAGAUUCAUCUGACCCUGCUUAGCAUAUGCAGAAACCAUUGCAUUUGAAACUUGAAUUUUAAAGAUAAGCCCAUUUUUGUGUGCAACAGCCUGAAUCAUUUGCACGGUCUCAAUACACACAGAGCUUGCCAACAAACUUCCAUAUGUAAACUCAUCUGGUUUCUCUCCUGCCCUCUGCAUUUGCAGGUAGACCAAAAUGACCGAUUCACUGUCAUUCACUUGAGCAUAAGUCGAGAUCAUGGAAUUCCAUGAUAUAAGAUCUCUCUCUUCCAACUUAUGAAAAACUAGGUACGCCGCUUGUGAAUCCCCACAGCCAGUAUACGUGGUUAUUGCUGCAUUGCUCACAGAUGUAAAAGCUUCAAAUCCCAACUUAAUCGCCUGCGCAUGUACAUGCUUAGCAACACUCGCAGCCAAACGCGAGCUCAUGACACUCACAAAAGUCAGCUCAGUCGGCCUCAGACCCGCCUCUUGCAUCCCUUUAAACAUUAUCAAACCCUCUUCAUCUCUUCCCACACCCACCAAACCAUCAAUCAUCACAUUAAAACUAAUCUCAUCACACACCCCAUCUUCCGCUUCUCCAAACACCUCAAACGCCUCCGCAACACUCCCACAGUUAAAAUACAUCGUAAGCAGAGCAUUCACAACCGAACCUCUCCCCAACAACCCAGUCCUAACCGCCAAACAAUGCACCUGCCUCCCAAACCCAAUCCCCUCCAAACAACACAAACUCAACACACUCGCAGCGCUAUAAUUAUCACACCUCACACCCAUCCUACGCAUUUCACAAAACAAACCAAACGCAACCUCCUCAGCCCCGUUCUCCGCGCAACCGGUAAUCAUCGCAUUCCAAAUCGCCACAUUACUCUUCUCAGGGAUUUUAUCAAACACCUUGCACGCAUACUCAACCUCCCCAAGUUUCGCACACGCCGAGAGCAGCGUCGUCCACGCAUAAACAUCAGGCUCUGCAAUCUCAUCAAACACCAAUCUUACGUCAUCCAAAUCUCCCGCGCUCGCGUAAAGCGAGAGCAGCGGGUUCGCCACGUGAGGAAAGGCUUUGAGGCCGGAGCGAACCGCAUUGCCGUGGAGUUGCGUCCCGAAAACGACAUGGCGUAGCUUCGCGCAAGCCGUGAUCGCCGCCGAGACGGUGUAGUGGUCCGGCCUAACCGACUGUGAUGAAUUGAUUUUGGUGAAGAGCUGAAGCGUCUCUACGUAACAAUGCGAGCGGUUAAGCUUCACCAGCCUCUGGUUCAGCUUCAGUACUUCACCGGCGGCUUCGGUUAUAGUCGUGAAGACUUGUUUGUAGUAGUUCAACUGCAUCGCUCAUUUUUCCUCUCUCAAAAUUUAAGCGAGGUUGAAGAAGACUACUACUCCCGCCAUGGUGCAAACGACGCCGUUUUGGUCUGUAAAUAAAAAUACAAAAACGCACCGUUUAGCUCUUUCUCUUCCACAAAUGGUGGCUAGUGAGCUUUUGAAGCUACAGAGGCGAAAGUGAGAGACGUAAAAUGCGAAGGUUGUUUCAGAAAUCGAUUUCUCUCUACACUAAACCCAAUUUAAUUUCGUCUAAUCCAAACAGCCCCUUACAGCUUUUUCACACAGUUCACAAACCCAGCAAGCAAACCAACCAUGUGUUCAACGAAAGAAGAUCCGGGUUCGGGUUGGUUCGUCUCGGAACCGACCCGGAACCAAGCCCGGACAACCCGACCCACUGCGAGUUCGCCGCCGACGUGGAGAAGAUUUACCGAAUAUUGCGCAAAUUCCACUCCCGGGUCCCCAAAUUGGAGCUCGCGCUGCACCAAUCCGGCGUCGUUUUGCGCUCCGGGUUAACCGAGCGGGUCCUGAACCGGUGCGGCGACGCCGGGAACUUGGGGUACCGGUUCUUCGCCUGGGCCUCGCAGCAGCCCAAUUACAGACCCAGCCACGAUGUUUACAGAGCGAUGAUCAAGUCCCUGAGCAAAAUGCGGCAGUUCGGCGCCGUGUGGGCUCUGCUUGAGGAGAUGAGGAAGGAGAGCCCAGAGCUCAUUACUGUGGAGAUGUUUGUUGUCUUGAUGCGGCGUUUCGCUUCGGCGAGGAUGGUGAAGAAGGCAGUAGAGGUGCUUGAUGAAAUGCCCAAGUAUGGGGUUGAGGUGGAUGAGUAUGCUUUUGGUUGCUUAUUGGAUGCUUUGUGUAAAAAUGGGAGUGUGAAGGAAGCUGCGAGUUUGUUUGAGGAUAUGAGAGUUAGGUUCAAGCCGAGUAUUCGGCAUUUUACUUCGUUGUUGUAUGGGUGGUGUAGAGCAGGGAAGCUCAUGGAGGCGAAACAUGUGCUGGUACAGAUGAAAGAGUUAGGGAUUGAGAUUGAUAUUGUGGUGUAUAAUGUUUUGGUUGGCGGGUAUGCGCAGGCUGGGAAGAUGGCGGAUGCAUAUGAGCUGCUAAAGGAGAUGAGGAGGAAGGGGUGUGAGCCGAAUGCAGCGUCGUAUACGACUGUGAUUCAGGCGCUUUGUGGGCAGGAGAAAAUGGAGGAGGCGAUGAGGGUGUUUGUGGAGAUGGAGAGGAGUGGGUGUGAGGCUGAUGUUGUGACUUAUAGUAGUUUGAUUAGUGGGUUUUGUAAGUGGGGGAAGAUUGUGAGGAGUUAUGAGAUUUUGGAGAGUAUGAUACAGAAAGGGUUUAUGCCGAGUCAGAUGAUUUAUUUGCAGAUUAUGUUGGCUCAUGAGAAGAAGGAAGACUUGGAGGAGUGUAUGGCAUUGAUGGGGGAGAUGAGGAAGAUUGGUUGCAUGCCUGAUCUUUGUAUUUACAACACGGUGAUUCGGUUGGCUUGCAAGUUGGGGGAAGUGAAGGAAGGUGUUCGGCUUUGGAAUGAAAUGGAAGAAGCAGCGUUUUCUCCGGGGCUUGACACCUUUGUCAUUAUGAUUCAUGGGUUUCUUGCGCAAGGUUGUUUGAUCGAAGCUUGUGAUUAUUUCAAAGAAAUGGUUGGCAGAGGCCUUCUGUCUGGGCCGCAAUAUGGUACCUUGAAGGAGUUGAUGAAUGCUUUGUUAAGAGAUGAGAAGUUAGAAAUGGCUAAAGAUGUUUGGAGUUGCAUUGUGACCAGAGGUUGUGAGCUUAAUGUGUGUGCAUGGACAAUUUGGAUUCAUGCAUUGUUUUCAAAGGGGCAUGUGAAGGAGGCUUGUUCAUACUGCUUGGACAUGAUGGAGGCAGAUGUGAUGCCACAGCCGGAUACUUUUGCGAGGCUCAUGCGUGGUUUAAAGAAACUCUAUAACAGACAGAUUGCUGCUGAGAUCACUGAGAAGGUGAGGCAGAUGGCUGCAGAUAGAAAGAUCACUUUCAAGAUGUAUAAAAGACGUGGGGAGAGGGACUUGAACGAAAAAGUUAAGGAGAAGCAGGAUGGUGGGAGGAAACGGAGGGCUCGAAGAAGGCAAUGGCCUAGUCAAGCUAAAGCCUUGUAGUUUGAAAUGGGAAAGCGGUGAAAGGACUGUCCGCUGUAUACUGUUUAUCUCAUUCAAGACAUGCCCUACACUGUUCAGCAUAUUUGUCGAAACACUGGCAUAUUCAACUAUGAGGUGCAGAUAGUAUGCCAAAGCUUUCCAAAUAGACAAAUGAGCUGAGGGCCUUUGUCCUUCAUAAUUGAACAAUGGUACGUCGACUAAUACCAGACCCAAUUCCUAGCUUUUGCAAUUGCUUAAUCUGUGUGAAGCUCCAUGGAUGGAUGUUAUUAUUCAGCUCAGGGUUCUGGCCCUAUUGGUUCCAAAACCUGAAGCAAGCAAAAUGCUGCUUAAUUUGGAUACUUAGCAGUGACUGAAUUUGAGAGCAAACCAUAUAGGCUAUAUUGAUCGCAAAGACUUAUUCUGUUCGUUCAAGGAUUGAUUAUUGAUACAAGGGCCUUUGUGUUGUAAGUUUUUAGUUUAGUUAAAGGCCUAAGCGAUUAUACAAGGGCUUAAUGUGGUUGCUUUUCCAACCAUCCAUCUUGGUUUAUAAAAGAAGAAGUAUUUGUUAAAUAUCCAACUUCGUCAUCCGAUAACUUCUUCUCCCAGGAAAUCCUAUGAGACAUGUUUGCUCCAGGUCCUCUGCAUUUCGCCUCUGAGAAUGUGAUUGUAUCCCUGUUCAAUUUGUGUCAAAGAAAUCAAACAAAGAAGUGAAAAAUUAAUGGUCAGCUAUAACAUCAAUUCUGCUAACUGCAAUGCGUGUUGCUAAACAAGUCGAUCAUCGAUUCCCAAAGUAUUGAUGUUUAGACGAACUUACACUGGUCGGACUUCCCAUUCUGACCAACCCUCAGGUGCAACAAUGUUCUCCAUAUACGUCCCCGAAAACAAUACUCUUGCGUAUGUUCUGUAUGCUCUACCUAGAAGUAUACGUCCUGAUCCACAUAAAUGGCAAUCCUUGAAGACAAACCCAGUAGUUUCAUUUGGACCUUCACGACCUUGAGCUGUAAUAUAACCAGUAGUGCCAAUUAUUUUGCUCAAAGCCAUUAUCCGACAUUUCUGCAAACAAUUUGAUCGAGCUUAAAUACAUGCUUAAUGUACGUAGAAUAUGUUCCUUAGAUAAGUUGCUUAUAUAGAACCCAAUAAUCGGAAACUCGUCAUCUUUGAUUUAGAUCGAUUCAUCACCUUUGAAACCUAAAAGAUAUACGGUUCAAGUUAUUGGAUGUAUUUCACAUGUUCUCAUUUUUCUCAUUAUCGUAAGUGGAGCUAGAACGUUUGAGAUUUACAACGUCUUAGCUCCACUUUGAUAGGUAAAAACUCAACUGAGCUUUGCUAGUGGAAUAUGGCAACAAAAACAAAAAUUCUAUCAGGUAUAAAUGCAUUCUGGCCUAGUUUAAUUUGUCAGCUAAGGAAGUUAUCUGACAUUUCUGCAAUGACAAAAAUUCGAUCAGGUAGCUAAACUUGUUUGUUGAUAUGAGAAAAAGGAGAGGAGUUUCACCUCGUAAAUUGACUGGCCAUUUCCCCAUAUGAAGUCUAUAGCACCUUGAAUAUUGCAGCCAUAGAAAUAGUGACGACCUUGGAAAUCAGUCAGUGUAUCUUGCAAGCUGAUGAAAGUGCAGUUAUAGAAACUUGCUUUGUCUCCCGCAAUUUUAGCAGCAGGCGCCCAAGUAGUUUUUCUCCCAUUAUUCGGAUCAAAUGUGAUAAGGUGGUCAUAUGUAUUCUGUUGAUAAGAACCAAACUCACAUAUUCAAGGAUAGAUAUGAAAAGCUCAUACAUCUGAUCUGUUUGAGAAGAAAAAAUUCACAUAUGUGCUUAACCUUGAAUACUAUAUUUUUUGCCACAAAAUUAUCUGCAAAUGCCUUGAAUGUAGGACUCUCAACAACACUGCCAGAAGCUCCAAAUUCGAUCGUUGUUUGAUGAUUAGGGUCUCCUUCAAGAAUAACAAAUGGCUUGUCCUGAGGGAUUGUAACCUUUUCACUAGAUAUGAAAAUAGCAGCUACGUUAGAGCUUGUAAGAUAGCUUGAGAAUGAAGACUUAAAAAAGAAGAAGAUGUUACUCACUGGUAGACACCAUGCUGAAUCUGGAUCCGAAUCCACCCUUCGUUAUUUGAUGGUAUGGAAUCAAUGGCUUGUUGUACAGUGCUAAAUUUUCCGCCACCAUUCUUACUGACGGUGAUCGUUACUGAUACAUCAUCUUGUUGAUCAUAUCUCAUUGCAUCAAAUUUAGCAAAGAAAAAGAAGAGAACCAAUGUCAUGAGAAACCUCAUACUGCAGAACAUUUUCAAAAUAAGCUUUGUGGAUUUUUCGCAACACAGUUUCCUGUCAUCAAGGAGAGUAAAGUCCUUGAUUUUAUAAAGGAAAUUUCGAUCUACAAAUAGUAUAUACUUUGUGAUGAAGAAACGCGCGGUUCUACAACAUCCUCAACUAUCAAUUGGUAGUUGUCUUAAGUUGAUAUCUUACAAAUUCAGAUGCUUUACUAUAAUUGUUUGAUAAGAAGGAAGUACCAUAACUCCAUAAGGCUAUUUCAUUCGUGCUGCUUACACCCUGCUUGUUUCAAUCACAUAAAGGAGCCAACUUGAUUAAUUGGAUCUAGAUACCUUAACCCCAGGUAAUGUAUCUGUUUUACAUUUUUCUAUUUUGGUUAAAGAAAGCCAAGCAAAUUGGACAAGCUAGCCUUUGAACUGCAUCAUUAUAACUUGCACGAUUGAAAGAUCAGAGAUAAAAACUAAAGCAAAUUGGACAAGCUAGCUAUCCUACGUAUGACCUGCCUCAUUAGUUGUAAUUACUUGCAGGAUUAAGAGACAUAAUCAAGGGAGAUCGAAAAGCUGAAGCAACCCAAAAUCUCAUAUAUGUAUCAGUUGUUUCUCUAUUAAAAUUGCAUCACUCAUUAUCUUUCAGUUGAUCGAAUAACCUAUUUUACUUCAUCACUCAUUAAGUGGUAAGUAGUUUCAAACGUUCACUGUCUAAGAAGGUUGAUGAACGCAUUUAGGACCUGGUGGUUUUGUGUUACAAUAAUAUGGGAGCCGGGUUGUUUUCGAGGUCCGUUUCGGGGAAAGCACACACUGCUUAGGGCGGUUCCGAAAACUUAAUUACGAGUAAAUUAGGGUUUGAACUUGCUAGUUUUAGGGCUCUUAGCUCAUUUCAGUCGAGUCAUUCAUACAGCGGUUUAUUGUGCAUUGUAUGCCUCUUUCUACAUAUUAACGGAUCGAGACCUUCUUAGUUAAUUAUCAAAAAUAAAUAAAAGUUCAACACAUAAAUUGGAAGGGAAAUUUGAGACGGUUUAUUUAUUAUGGUUACUAUGAUAUCUGUACCACUUCACAUCGAUCUGAUGACCAUGUAUGAACUGAAGAUCUAAUGAACUGAUUACUGAUCAAGGGAUUGAUGAACGUUUUAGAUUACUGAUCAAAGGAUUAUAAAGGUCGACUUAACGCGCGGGGUUGCUUUCCCAACCAGCCAUCUUGGUCUAUGAAAGAAGCUGUAUUUGUUAAACUAAUCACUUCCUCAUCCGAUAGCUUCUUCUCCCAUGAAAUACGACGGGACAAAUCUGCUCCAGGUCCUCGGCAAUUCGCUUCCGAGAAUGUGAUCACAUCCCUAAUCAAUUUUAUCAGAGAAACAAUGGAUCAAAUAUUGUAUGUAAUGCAGAAUUAAUUAUGAACAAGAUUUAAGCAAAUAAAAGAAGAAGAGAAUGUUAAGCUUACGCAUAACUAAUUUGGGGUGGCGUCCAAAGGGACCAACCCUCCGGGGUAAUAACAUUUUCCAUAUACGUCCCUGAGAACAAGACUCUUGAGUAGUUUCUGUAUGCUCUUCCAAGAAAAGCAGUGCCUGAUCCGCAUACGUAACAAUCUUUGAAUACAAACCCAGUAGUUUCAUCUGGACCUUCACGACCUUGAGCUGUGAUAUAACCAGUAGUGCCAAUUAUUUUGCUCAAAGACAUUAUCUGACAUUUCUGCAAACAAUUUGAUCGAGCUUAAAUACAUGCUGAUUGUACGUAGAAUAUGUUCUCUAGUUAAGUUUCCUAUAUAGAAUCCAAUAAUCGGAAACUCGUCGUCUUUUAGGUCGAUCAAUCACCUUUGAAACCUAAAAGAUAGACUGUUUAAGUUAUUGGACGUAUUAAUUUCACAUGUUUUCAUUUUUCUCAUUAUCAUGUUUUCAUUUUUCUCAUUAUCAUAAGUAGAGGUAGAACGUUCGAGAUCUCCAAUGUUCUAUCUCCACUGUGUUAGAUAGGUAAAAACUCAACUGGCUUUGCUAGAGGAAUAUGGCGCGCAACAAAAACAAAAAUUCUGUGGAUUUUUACUUAACCUCAUAGAUUGACUGGCCAUUGCCCCAGAUAAAGUCUAUAGCACCACGAACAUCACAAUCAUAAAAAUAGUGACGACCUCUGGCAUCCCAGAGUGUAUCUUGCAAGCUAAUGAAGCCACAGUGAUAAAAACUAGCUUUGUCUCCAACAAUUUUAGCAGCAACUGCCCAAGUAGUUCUCCGGUUGGGAUCCUCUUUAAUAAGAUGGUCAUAUGAAUUCUGUUACAACCAAAUUACCAGAAUUAUGAAGCUAGGGCUAAAGAAUAAGUUAGUAAUAAACAAUGUGUUAGAAUAAUAUGUAGAGUAGUAUAACAACAAUAUGUACACUGCAAGUUCAGGAGUUACCUUGAAUAAUAUAUUCCGAGCCACAAAAUUAUCAGCAAGUAACGUAAAUGUAGGACUCUUUCCAACACUACCGAAAUCCCCAAAUUCAAUUGCAGUAAGAAACUUAGGGUGUCCUUCAAGAAUAAUGUAUGGUUUCUCUUGAGGAAUUACCACUUUUUCACUGUCAGGAAAAACAAACGAAUGAGUUAGCCAGCCAACCAUACUACAGCUCACCAACAAAUCGAUUAAGUUACAUAUGACUUUGAAAAGAAUAGAUGAACAUGCACAUAUGCUACUUACAAGUAAAGACCAUGGUUAAGAAUGAUUCGAGUCCACCAAGAGUUAUUUGAAGGGAUGGAAUCAAUGGCUUCUUGCACUGUUCUAAAAUCUCCGUGGCCCUUCAUAUCCACUUUAAAGGUGCGUGAUACCUCAUCAGUUAGAUCAAAUUUCAUUGCAUGAGAGCAUGAACCCAAUUUAGACAAGAAAUAGAAGAGAGCCAGCAAUGAGAGUAGUAUUGUUGUUAUGAGAGACUCCAUAUUAUUUGUUAGCAGGUUGCAACGGACUUUUGACUGCAAGGAGAUGGUGAAGUGGUGAUAUCAGAAUAUAUACGAGGAAUUUGAAAGUUCCAUAUACAGCUUUUUGGAUUCAGCUGAUCAAUCAGAAUCUACCAAUUAAUCUGAUAUUUUUGAAAGUUAAGAGUUAAUUUGUUACAUUGAAGUGAAAAGUAGGAACCCAUUCGUCCACCAAAUCUUCAAUUAUUUAUGAGGUGAUUCUAUACUCAACAUCAAUCUGGAUUUUCUGGAUUUUCCAGUGAGAUUUGGAAAAACUAAAGCUCUCCAAAAUAGCUAAGAAGCUAACCAGAGAGUGGUAAAUAUUCUCUUGGGAGCUAUUGUGGUUGCUUUUCCAACCACCCUUCUUGGUUUAUAAAGGAAGUUGUAGUCGUCAAAUAUCUCACUUCUUCAUUCGAUAACUUCUUCUCCCAUGGAACACGAUGGGACAUUUCUGCUCCAGGUCCACUGCAGUUAUUCUCCGCGAAUAUGAUUGAAUCCCUGUUAAACAGUUUUCGAAUAAAUCAACUCCGAGGAAAAUCAAACUACGACGAGGAAAAUCAAAAUGAUGUCACGCUACAUUUUGUUCAUGUUAAGCUUAAGCCACAUAAUCUAAAUCAAAGUGAUCUCGAUCGACAACUUACGCGAAACUAAUCUGCGGUGGUGUCCAGAGCGACCAACCCUCCGGCGCAACAACGUUUUCCAUGUAUGUCCCGGAAAACAGUACUCUCGAGUAGUUUCUGUAUGCUCUUCCAAGAAAUGAAGUGCCUGAUCCAUAUACAUGACAAUCUUUGAAAACAAAACCAGUAGUUUCAUUUGGACCUUCACGACCCUGUGCUGUAAUAAAACCUGUAGUGCCUAUCACAUUGGCCAAUGAUCUUAUUUGGCACCCCUACAAACAGUUUGAUCCAGUGAAAAUACAAUUGUUAGUUUCUCCAUAUAUACAGAUUGUAAUUUUCUUCCCAUUUAUAGCAAAAGGAACACAAAUUUUAACCUCAUAAAUUGACUGGCCAUUGCCCCAAAUAAAGUCUAUAGAACCAGUAAUAUUGCAACCAGAAAAAUAGUGACGCCCUCGGGCAUCCCACAAUGUGUCCUGCAAGCUUAAGAAGAUACAUUGGUAAAAACUUGCCCUGUCUCCGAAAAUUAAAGCUGCAACUGCCCAAAUUGUUUGCCUUCCGUCGUCCAGUUUAAUAUGAUCAUGCGUAUUCUGGAACCAUAGUUAUUUAACUAUUUUAGUUUAGAAACGAAAAAAAAGAAAAAAAAGAUUAGACUCAUAAACCAUAUAUGUGUACUUCUUUGUAAUCGUCUUGUGAUAUCGUUAAUUAUUUAAAUGCUCAUUUCUUAAUCACUUAAUAAGAAGAUAAAAAUCAAUAAAAUUAUCAAUUAUGAUCUAGUCGUGUAGGCUAGAUAUUCACCUUGAAAUAAAUAUAUCGUGCCACAAAAUCACUAGCAAGUAAGGUAAAUGUCGAACAUUGAGAAACAAGUCCAGCAUCUCCAAAUUCGAUCGUCGUAAGUUUUUUCGGAUCUCCUUCAAGAAUGAUAUAUGGUUUGUCUUUCGGGAUGACAACUUUUUCGCUGGAUACGCUCAACAUAACAACUAUUAGAGCUUGAAAUUUAUUCCAUACAUAUUCGGAAAUGAAACCUGAAAUCAAAAUUACUUACAAGUAAACACCAUGGUUAAGGAGGAUUCGAAUCCAAACCGAGUUGCCUGAUGGUACAGAAUCAAUGGCUUGCUGGACUGUGGUAAAAUUUGCGUUACCACUCUUGCUGACAGUGAUGGUACGUGAAACAUCAUAUUUCCUUCCAUCAUAGCAGGAACCCAACUUACCUAAGAAAAUGAAGAGGAACAUUAUUAUUGAUAUAAGAUGCGACUCCAUGAAGAGCACUACUUCAAUACAAGCUUUGCAGUCUGUAAAAGAUGACGAGGACACAGUUUAACGCAGGAAGAUGAUGCAUGCAUGCAUCUUGUUCAUCUUAUAUAGAUAGAAGAUGUACUGAUGAGUGCAAUAUAUGGAAAUUGAUAUCUUGGUUUGGACUGUGUAAAGUCGAAUAUGCCAAGUCUAAAUUUGGAAGAAAAUAAGGCAAAUGAGAAAUGAUUCCACAUAUUCUUUUUCUUACUUGGAUUAUUGGAUUUUAGUGAUCCAAAGUUUAUUUAUUUAUCUUGUGAGUCGCUUCUAAGGCGAGCUCGUUUCGGAUAUGUAUGGAGUUUUUUUUUUAACUGUAGCUCUUGGCAGUGCUAUUGAUGUUAAUGAAAUCAAUCUCUGUUUCAUAGAAAUUGGAUUUUGGUGAUCCAAAACAUUUAUCUUCUAAAAUUGUAAGACCCUAAAAAAAAUAUGUGAACAACUUUUAAGAACUUAAAUUAGGGUUGAGCUGGGAUGUGAUGGGACGGGAUUAGGGUCAUCACACGGCCCAUCCCGGACAUUGCACACUACAAGAAAUAUGGCAAUCAGCGAGGAAAUUAUUUGCGACGAUUGAAAAUUCCUUACAAAAAGUUAGAAUUUACAAGGAAUAUAUAGUCGUCGCAUGUUUAAACAUAAGCGAGGAGUAUUCCUCGCAAAUUAUUAUGUUCCGCAAGGAAUUAUAAAAUUCCUUAUAAAUUCUGAGGCGGGAAUUGGCGGCAUAAUUUUUUGNNNNNNNNNNNNNNNNNNNNGGUUGCUUGAUCAUCUAUGAAUUUGAUCAAUUUCUGGAAAAGACCCAUUUGCCGGAGAUUUCUCUUCCUCUGAUUCCUCUUCUCGUUGUUCCGGUUGUUCAUGUCUCGUCUUCUUUCUUUUUUUCUUUGGUUUCUCUCCUCAUCUCUUCCUCUCUGUUUCCUCAUUUCGUUUCUCUUUUUUUUUUUCAUGGCAAUGCAACAAGUUCAUUUUUGGGAUGAGAAGAAUUGGUUUGGUCUGAAUUGGAUCAGAGGACCGGUUGUUUUGAUUUUGUAAUCGUCUAAAUUGUGAGAUAUUUGAUUUGAGGUUCAUGGUGUAUGACUGCAUGUUAGACAAGGAUCAUGAGGGAGAAGAGAUUUGGAGUUCUGUUUUACAGACAAAUUAAUUGUCCACUCGCAAGAAUUCAAAUUGAUAUAAUGAUCUGUGUUUUUUUGUUUGUUUUUGUUUGAAAAUGAACAUAUCCAUUCAAAAAGAAGCAAGCCAACUAGCCCAAGUAAUGGCUCAAAUAGCUGCUCUAGUAUUUUUGUUGUAAACUAUAUUUCUGUUUUCAUUUUCAAAUGCUAUGUGUUCAUCUGGGAUAUCAGUUUGUUUGUUUGUUUGUUUUUUUUCCAGGUAAAAUGGGUGUUGAUGUUCUUGGCUUUGCUUGCUGUUAUGCUCUUUAAUCCUAC
rnacentral:lncRNA from 1 species